CGAAGCGUGCGAUUGGAUUGCACGUCUAAGCAGUAAGGCUGAGUAUUAGGCAAAUCCGGUACUCGUUAAGGCUGAGCUGUGAUGGGGAGAAGACAUUGUGUCUUCGAGUCGUUGAUUUCACACUGCCGAGAAAAGCCUCUAGAUAGAAAAUAGGUGCCCGUACCGCAAACCGACACAGGUAGUCAAGAUGAGAAUUCUAAGGUGAGCGAGCGAACUCUCGUUAAGGAACUCGGCAAAAUGACCCCGUAACUUCGGGAGAAGGGGUGCUCUUUAGGGUUAACGCCCAGAAGAGCCGCAGUGAAUAGGCCCAAGCGACUGUUUAUCAAAAACACAGGUCUCUGCUAAACCGUAAGGUGAUGUAUAGGGGCUGACGCCUGCCCGGUGCUGGAAGGUUAAGAGGAGUGGUUAGCUUCUGCGAAGCUACGAAUCGAAGCCCCAGUAAACGGCGGCCGUAACUAUAACGGUCCUAAGGUAGCGAAAUUCCUUGUCGGGUAAGUUCCGACCCGCACGAAAGGCGUAACGAUUUGGGCACUGUCUCAACGAGAGACUCGGUGAAAUCAUAGUACCUGUGAAGAUGCAGGUUACCCGCGACAGGACGGAAAGACCCCGUGGAGCUUUACUGUAGCCUGAUAUUGAAAUUCGGCACAGCUUGUACAGGAUAGGUAGGAGCCUUUGAAACGUGAGCGCUAGCUUACGUGGAGGCGCUGGUGGGAUACUACCCUAGCUGUGUUGGCUUUCUAACCCGCACCACUUAUCGUGGUGGGAGACAGUGUCAGGCGGGCAGUUUGACUGGGGCGGUCGCC
rnacentral:rRNA from 1 species